CACAGCAGCUUCUGGCCUCAGGUCACCACACAGCAGCUUCUGGCCUCAGGUCACCACACAGCAGCUUCUGGCCUCAGGUCACCACACAGCAGCUUCUGGCCCCAGGUCACCACACAGCAGCUUCUGGCCCCAGGUCACCACACAGCAGCUUCUGGCCUCAGGUCACCACACAGCAGCUUCUGGCCUCAGGUCACCACACAGCAGCUUCUGGCCCCAGGUCACCACACAGCAGCUUCUGGCCUCAGGUCACCACACAGCAGCUUCUGGCCUCAGGUCACCACACAGCAGCUUCUGGCCUCAGGUCAACCACACAGCAGCUUCUGGCCUCAGGUCACCACACAGCAGCUUCUGGCCUCAGGUC